rnacentral:sRNA from 1 species
CCAAGGCUACACAAAGAAACCCUGUCUCGGGAAAAAUAAAAAACUAAAGUUACAAUUUUUCACACACUCGUACAUACACAAAUCCAGACUUUUUGCCAAUCUCUUCUAAAACAAAAGAAAUUUGACAAGGAGACCAUAUUUUCCAAGGGCAAAAAUUGGUUCUGGCUUCGUAUUCCAUCCCUCUACGGUUCUGUGAAUGUCCUACUGGACUCUAAUGCCCCUCCCCAACUCCGCAGGAUACCUGGAGUCUGCGGUCAGUCUUAGUAUGUUUUGUGUAUCAGAACAUCUGGUAGCCUAGUGUCCCAGGGCAGGCUCCUGAGACUGAAGCAGGAAGAGGGUACACAGGUUUUGCUGUAGCUGGCUGUGAAAGGUCAUGGGAUGGGGAGAGGUGCUCAUCCAGCCAAGCACUGCCCAUCCAGACAAAUGGAUGAAUCGUUUUCUUUCAACAUAUCAUUGGGCUUCAGAGGUUAUGAGGCGAAGACUACACUCCCUAGCAAGUGGGUGUCCGGAGCAUAGCUCCGGUGAAUGGCUGUGUCAGAGAACCAUUUAGAAGACGCUCUUCCACCCACACUCUCCAACCCCAUGCCCAGGGCAACCCUUGACCAGCUCGACAGAAAGCUGUGUUACUGAACUUUGUACUAGGCAUCCCCCCAAUAAACCGUGAUGAGCAGAGAAGCGGCGCUCCCUCUAGGGGUGUACAAGUGGGUAUCUAUCCCUGCCUAUGGGAUCCUAACCACUCCCCCCCCAACGGAAGAGGCGGGGACUGCCCAGGAAGUAAAUAUCCAGCCGUGAAGAGCCCAAUCCAGCUCCUGGGCCCCAUCCUUUGACCAGACACCAGGAAGGAAUGAAGGAGGACUCUCUUGAUAAUGAGCACAGUGGGCCUCAGCGUGGCCUGUGGCGUCACUGGCUCGGCUGCCAGCCGUUUCUCAUUUCUAACUGGGCAAAGUUUUCAGGACAUUUUUAUGGGCUGCCCCAAAGCCAGCUGGAAGCACUUUUCCCAUAAACUCUCCCAGAGACAAGUAGCCAGGUUUCACAUAUUAAAAUGAAAAUGUCAAAAGGGCCGCUAAAAAGACAACGUUGUGGGCUCAUUUAUGAGGCUGUAGUCACAAACGCAGUACAGAGGCAUCUGCCCACUGUGUUAGGCUGUGAUGGUGCUGGAUUGUUUGCUUGCCCAGUGUUUGUUUAGGACACGGUCUCAUGGAACCCAGGCUGGCCUCAAAACUUACUUUGUCAAUGAAGAGGACCUCAUCUCCAUGUCUUUCUGCAAGCUAAAAUUACAGGGGUGUAACGCCAUGCUGGAUGCUAUGCACUGCUAAAGCUAGAACCCAGGACUUCGUGCAUGCGAGGCAAGAAAUUGAAUUACAGUCGCAGGAGCUACAAAA